GAUGAACGCUGGCGGCGUGCCUAAUACAUGCCAGUCGAGCGAACAGACGAGGAGCUUGCUCCUCUGACGUUAGCGGCGGACGGGUGAGUAACACGUGGAUAACCUACCUAUAAGACUGGGAUAACUUCGGGAAACCGGAGCUAAUACCGGAUAAUAUAUUGAACCGCAUGGUUCAAUAGUGAAAGACGGUUUUGCUGUCACUUAUAGAUGGAUCCGCGCCGCAUUAGCUAGUUGGUAAGGUAACGGCUUACCAAGGCAACGAUGCGUAGCCGACCUGAGAGGGUGAUCGGCCACACUGGAACUGAGACACGGUCCAGACUCCUACGGGAGGCAGCAGUAGGGAAUCUUCCGCAAUGGGCAAAAGCCUGACGGAGCAACGCCGCGUGAGUGAUGAAGGUCUUCGGAUCGUAAAACUCUGUUAUUAGGGAAGAACAAAUGUGUAAGUAACUAUGCACGUCUUGACGGUACCUAAUCAGAAAGCCACGGCUAACUACGUG
rnacentral:rRNA from 1 species